GGCACUGUUUCUGCAUCUGAGUCUGGCUGC
rnacentral:piRNA from 1 species